UUUUAACAUGAACACUUUCAGUUUCCACUUUUAUUUUUACUCUUUCAAUUUUCCAUUUUUUAUGCUUUUUUUUUAUUUCAAACCAGAAUUUUUCUCCGACGUUACCACCGUGCCGGAAUUCUUCUCCACCGUCGUCUUCUUCUCCUUCAAAGGGGUGUUGAUGUUGUUCAACUUGAGGUCAAAAAAAUAGGUUGAUGGACAAAAGUUUCAAUGGAAUUUGGAACUUGUUUAAAGGCGUGCUUUCAAGAUUUAAUACAUUGUCGUAUUGUAAUAAUGAGAAGAAGAUUUUUUGACUGAUAGAUAUCAGGCAUAAGAAAAUAUGUGUAUGCUAAUGAUCAUAUAUUGAAAAAAAAUUGAAGAGUAUGAUGAGUCCCUUGGUGUAGGGUAUUACUCAUCAAAGUGAAUGAUGUUGAUUCUAAAUGUGGUAUGAGCAUCAAGGGUCCUCCUUGUAGUACUAUGGACAUUUUCACACUCCGAUCGAUUCUUUGUAAUGGAAAAUGAUUAGAUCUUUGUUUCUCGAUUUUGACAAUGUGCCAAAAACCCUUAAGCUUGGUCUUUCUACAGAAGGAAUUAAUGUAGUAGCCAUAGAUCAUGGACUCAUUCUGCUUAUAGUAUACAACUUAUUUCCUUGGUUGUGCAUGAGAAGAUAUUCAUUCAAUGGUCAAAAAGACUUGUGGAGAUUAUUUCAGGUAAAAUAUUAGUUAAUAUAUAUUUUUCGAUUUAUUCUUAGAAAGAAUAUAAAAAUGCUGACCAAGUUUUAAAGGCAACAUUGCAAAGAACGAAUUUGAAGAUUGUGGAAUUUUUUUUUGGGUUCUAACAUAUGUUGUGGAGCUGUGUAUAGUUAAACAAGAGCUAUAUGGAUAAAAACUCAUCAAUUGUGGUUGACAUUAGUACAUCUUAUUGUAAAAAUAAGCCAUCAUAGGUGUUCCCAUUGUAAAUUGUUUACAACAUGUUAUUAGUUAUAAAAGUUACUAUAUACAAUAUCUACCCAUUAAGUUCACAUUUUGUAUUCAUUUUUAGCGCAAAGAUAGAGUUAAGUGUAUGGAUGGAGCAAUUAAAUCUGUGUACAGCAGGUGAAGUUGAACUACUAAUUAGCUUAAUGUCAAAACACUUAAAUCCCUUUGACAUUUCA